GAAGUAGACAAGGUGGUCGCCGGUUCUCAUACUUGUAAAAGAGAACGGGAGGAAAGUCCGAGCUCCAUAGGACACAGUGCUCCGUAACCCGGAGUCUUGGUAACAAGAAGGAAAGUGCAACAGAAAAUAUACCGUCCACGUAUAGGUGGAUAAGGGUGAAAUGGUGGGGUCGUUUACGACUUAAUGUAAGAGCCCACCGCUUCAAUGGCGACAUUGGAGGCAUGGCAAACCCCACUGGGAGAAAGGCUAAAUAGGGAGGGAUGAAGUGGUCCGCUUCGUUAUUACCUCUGGGUAAGCCGUUAGAACCUGCUGGCAACAGCAGGUCUAGAUAAAUGAUCACCCACGACAAAACUCGGCUUAUUGUCUACUUAAAGC
rnacentral:RNase_P_RNA from 3 species